UUGGAGGGCAAGUCUGGUGCCAGCAGCCGCGGUAAUUCCAGCUCCAAUAGCGUAUAUUAAAGUUGUUGCAGUUAAAAAGCUCGUAGUUGAACCUCGGGGUCUACCCAUUGGUCAGGCUUAAUUGUCUGCACUGGUGAGAUGGAUCUCUACCUUCUGAGGAACUUUCAUGCAAUUCAUUUGGUGUGAUGGGAAAUCAGGACUGUUACUUUGAAAAAAUUAGAGUGUUUAAAGCAGACUAUCGUCUGAAUACAUUAGCAUGGAAUAAUGAAAUAGGACGGACUGAUUCUAUUUCGUUGGUUUCUAGGAUCACCGUAAUGAUUAAUAGGGAUAGUUGGGGGCAUUAGUAUUCAAUUGUCAGAGGUGAAAUUCUUGGAUUUAUUGAAGACUAACUACUGCGAAAGCAUUUGCCAAGGAUGUUUUCAUUAAUCAAGAACGAAAGUUAGGGGAUCGAAGACGAUCAGAUACCGUCGUAGUCUUAACCAUAAACUAUGCCGACUAGGGAUCGGACGAAGUUAAUUUUAUAAUGACGCGUUCGGCGCCUUACGGGAAAC
rnacentral:rRNA from 1 species